GUCCAAAGAAGAAGAAGCCUGAAUGAGGAGAGAUUACUAGAAACAAACUCGGUUUACCCUGUUAUCUGUGGAUUAAUUGUCAGAGUAGAGGAUUUUGUGCAUUUCAGAGUUCAACAAAGCCAACAACUGCUUCAUGUGGGCCACUGAUAAAGAACCUGGAUGUGGCCCAAAGACUGACUGGAUUGAAUGUUUUGCCUGCCAACGGUGGUUCCAUGUGCUGUGCCUAGGAAUGAAGACAAAAGAGUUCAAAAGAGUAAACACAAACUAGAAGUGCAGUCUUUGUUGUUGAAAUUGUAUGCUAUACCCCAUCCACACUGAAGAGGAUCUGAAAUGUACAUCAACCAGGGAUAAAGAGAAAGUUAACACUGAAAUGUUUCAUUCUUAUUUGAAGUUAAGUGUCUGACAUGUUGGAAAAGAUUAAAGGUUUACAAUUUCAGUUUAAUUUGUCAAUAUUACAUUUUUAUUU
ensembl:lncRNA